rnacentral:rRNA from 1 species
AUUGAACGCUGGCGGCAGGCCUAACACAUGCAAGUCGAGCGAGCGGCGGACGGGUGAGUAAUGUAUGGGGAACUGCCCGAUAGAGGGGGAUAACUACUGGAAACGGUGGCUAAUACCGCAUACUAUCGGAUGAACCCAUAGGGGAUUAGCUCGUUGGUGGGUUAAAGGCUCACCAGGGCGACGAUCCCUAGCUGGUCUGAGAGGAUGACCCGCCACACUGGAACUGAGACACGGCCCAGACUCCUACGGUAGGCAGCAGUGGGGAAUAUUGAACAAUGGGCGCAAGCCUGAUGCAGCCAUGCCGCGUGUAUGAAGAAGGCCUUAGGGUUGUAAAGUACUUUCAGCGGGGAGGCGUUACCCGCAGAAGAAGCACCGGCUAACUCCGUGCCAGCAGCCGCGGUAAUUC